ensembl:lncRNA
AUGACAUUACUUACAUGAUACAAUAACACACAUACAAACAAUUACAAUAAUAACAACACAAUGAUUGGGCGAAAAUCUGAAGCAGUUCCUGAGAAGAAAGAAAAGAAGAAAAGUUAAUGACAUGUUAAUGUUGUUAGUGUGUCUGCGUGUAGAACAACGUGUUAGUGUGUAUUUGUGUAAUUAUAUAUGUUAGUGUGUUUUUGUGUAGAACAAAAUGUUAGUGUGUACAUCUAAAUAUUAAUGAUCUACUGUAUGUGUACAUCGAAAUAUUAAUGAUCUAUGUGUACAUCUAAAUAUCGAUGUGUCUAUGUGUGUCUAAAUAUUUAUGAUCUAAGGCUGACUCCCAGCCGCCGUCCUCCUCUUCUUCAUCAAAUUCACCUUCCAUUUAACAACAGUCAACCAGAUCGUAUGUAUUUUACCUGAGCAGACAGCUAUGUUCUGAAAGUUUAUACUAACCUUCCAGAGAAAAUGUUUGCGUCCACGAGCUUAUGUUAGCCUCGCAGAAUCUAUGUAUGCUGAAAGUUUAUACUAACCUUCCGGAGUUAAUGCGUCUGUGAGUUUAUGUUAACCUCUCAGACUCAACUAUUAGGUCUGUCUGCCCUCCUUACAACAUACUUCCAAAACUGUUUUCUUAAAGUACAUUUCUCAACACAUUUCAUUCAUCUAUCCGGACAAAAUGCCUCAGUGGCUUAAAGCGUUGGCUUAGCCUCUACAUUCAAAGUCAAAACUAUUUUUCUUAUUCCGGCUGGAAACACCUGCCGAGCCCCCAAAGGUUCCUACCCUAUAUAGGCUGACCAGCCCAUCAAUCAGAUGCUGCCAUACAUCAUAAAUCGCCUCUUACAGGUAGUGUGUCUAUGUGUACAUCGAAAUAUGAAUGAUCUAUGUGUACAUCGAAAUAUUAGUGUGUCUAUGUGUGUCUAAAUAUUUAUGAUCU